rnacentral:rRNA from 1 species
AGUGAACGCUGGCGGUAGGCCUAACACAUGCAAGUCGAACGGCAGCACAGUAAGAGCUUGCUCUUACGGGUGGCGAGUGGCGGACGGGUGAGGAAUACAUCGGAAUCUACUUUUUCGUGGGGGAUAACGUAGGGAAACUUACGCUAAUACCGCAUACGACCUACGGGUGAAAGCAGGGGAUCUUCGGACCUUGCGCGAUUGAAUGAGCCGAUGUCGGAUUAGCUAGUUGGCGGGGUAAAGGCCCACCAAGGCGACGACCCGUAGCUGGUCUGAGAGGAUGAUCAGCCACACUGGAACUGAGACACGGUCCAGACUCCUACGGAGGCAGCAGUGGGGAAUAUUGGACAAUGGGCGCAAGCCUGAUCCAGCCAUACCGCGUGGGUGAAGAAGGCCUUCGGGUUGUAAAGCCCUUUUGUUGGGAAAGAAAAGCAGCAGGUUAAUACCCCGCUGUUCUGACGGUACCCAAAGAAUAAGCACCGGCUAACUUCGUG